rnacentral:rRNA from 1 species
AAUGGUGCAGAGAUGCACGGGUACGUCCUGAACUUAAGCAUAUCAAUAAGGACAGGAGAAGAAACAAACGUGGAUUUCUUUAGUAGUGGCGAACGAACAAGAAGGAGCUCUAAUGGUAAUGCAAAGUUGUGGGAGCGGUGCAAGAAUCCUAUGGAAAGAGGAGCCAGAGGUGGUGAGAGCCCACGGACGACGCCAGCGAGCAGGAAGAGUAGUAUUGCUUGGUAGUGCAGUAUGAAAGGGUGGUAUGAACAUCCAAGGCUAAAUACAAGGAGAGACCGAUAGCAAAGAAGUACCGCGAGGGAAAGCUGAAAACAAUUGGAUAGGAUGAAAGACAGAAAGUACAUGAGAGUAAGCCCAUUUAUGGGACCCGUAUUGAAACACGGACCAAGGAGAUUUCCAGCGCAGCGAGGAGAAGGGUGGAGGCCCCGAUCCGAGAGAAAUCGGGAAGUUGCGGUGGUAAGACCCGAAAGAUAGUGAACUAUAUCUGUUGGUAUUGAAGUCAGGAGAAAUUCUGAUGGAGGAUAUUAGUCGUUCUGAUGUUCAAUUCGAUGACGAGAAAUGGGUAUAGGGGCGAAAGACCAAACGAACUAUCUGGUAGCUGGUUCCAGUCGAAAUGUCUCUCAGGACAGCGGUUGAGGUAUAGGAAGAUGCAGUAGAGAGGAUGUGGACAGAGUCAACAAACUCCGAAUGUGUCGAAUGUGCUAGGAUCUAGUGCAUGUCUAGGAGUUCUCAACCAGUGGGCAGAUUGUGGUAAGCAUGAUCUGCAAGAAGCAAAGAAGCUGGAAGCAGGAUAAGCAACCAAAGCGACAACACGCAGCAAAGUAGAUGACCAAGUUAAGACAGUAGGACGGUGGCCAUGGAAGUUGGAAUCCGCUAAGAAACGUGUUACAACGUACCUAUCGAAUUUGGGAUAGACUAAAAUUGAAGGUGGUGAUGUCGGGUGCGAGACCUGCAUAUUGGUAGACUGGCACGAGGCUUGCGGAGAAGGACACUGGCGAUGGUGUGUGGAGCGAGCCCCGGAGCAGAUCUUGGAAGUAGUAGCGACUAUUAUUAGGACAUGUUGAGUCGGGUUCAUCCUUUUGAUAGAAGGAGGUGAUACGAUCCUAUGUAAAAGGGGGAUAUGAGGAUAUUCAUAUGAUGGCUCUGAGAUAGCAAUAUAAGAACGACAGCUGGACAGGAGCAGAUGGCAAUUUGUCUGCAGGAGGAUCUACGGAGCGUUACACAGAGAAGUAGACGGACAGCUUGGUAAAAAGACAGGAGCCAGUCGUACCGAACCGCAUCAGGACUCAGGGGUGAGUAGCCCAAUGUGAGAGAGAACUCAAGUAAGGGAAAUCGGCAAAAUGGAUGAGUAACUUCGGGAGAAUUAUUGGCUCUAGCAUGCUAGAACUGGGCUUACAAGGGGAAUCUGACAGUUUAAUAAAAACAUAGCUUUCUGGCAGAUAGAAAGUGAAUUCUGCCCAGUGCUUGGGACGUUAAUGAAGUAAUAUUUAGUACGCACAUGUAAACGGCGGGAGUAACUAUGACUCUCUUAAGGUAGCCAAAUGCCUCGUCAUCUAAUUAGUGACGCGCAUGAAUGGAGCAACGAGAUUCCCACUGUCCCUACUUGAGCAGCGCGAACCUACAGCCAAGGGAACGGGCUUGGGACAAGCAGCGGGGAAAGAAGACCCUGUUGAGCUUGACUCUAGUGAGAUAGAGGCGUUUGUUGUGAUGCCGCAGCAAGGUGGGAAAAAGGUGCAAGACCACUGGCAUAUGGAACGAACGCGUUAGAUAUCUGAUGGGGAGUUUGGCUGGGGCGGCACGACUGCUAAACUAUAACGCAGUUGUCCAAAGGUAAGCUUCGAGGGGAAGGAAACCACUCAUGGAGCAAAAGGGCAAAAGCUUGCUUUAGGCGAUAGUGUGAACUAGCGCUACUGGAAACAGGGGCCUAUAGAUCCUCUUCUAGGUUAUGAGGAGAGGUGACGGAAAAGUUACCACAGGGAUAACUGGCUUGUGGCGGCCGAGCGAUCAUAGCGACGCCGCUUUUUGAUUCUUCGAUGUCGGCUCUUCCUAGCAUGGUGAAGCAGAAAUCACCUAGUGUUGGAUUGUUCACCCACCAACAGGGAACGUGAGCUGGGUUUAGACCGUCGCGAGACAGGUUAGUUUUACCCUACUGCUGAUGCACAAGAGUAGGUCAGAGGAGUACGAGAGGAAGCGCUGAUCAGGACCGCUGGUGAAGCUGUUGUGUGUUAGCGCAGCAGCACAGCUACGUCCUCCGUGUAAUGGCUGAAGGCCUCUAAGCCAGAAAGCAGACUCGAGUGUGUGUGGAUGCGGAGACGACGCAGACAAGGAAGCAAGCUGUGCGACACUAGCCGUGAGCGAGUGUUUGAGGCUGUGCUUUUCCUUCCCCCGGCGUGUUUACACUGCACAGGUCCGUGCGGUCCGAAUUGCUCAAACCUAUAAAUUUUUUAUCUAAUUCGUCGUCUGCAUUUAAAAAUAUGGUAAAUAAGUCUUGAAUCGAAAAACAAAAAUAAGGCUUUAAUAUAAUUUAUUACCUGUUUCUUAAUUUGAAUCGAUACAAUUCUUUUUUA